CAUGUACACUUGGUAUUUUUAUACAUACAGUGGCCAAGAAGACCAUUGCUAUCUGUGACAGAAUUCUAAGAUGGCCCCAUAAUCUCAGUCCUGGUGUUACUUCUAUAAUUUUGUUCACUACAUGAUCCCACAAUAUGGAAUAUCAAGAGUCCUAUUUCCCUUUGUCCAUCCUAGACAGCAAACCUAUAGACAAGUCCUCCACAAAACCUCCCCAGAUUUAGCAGAAACUUGACUCCUAAUUUCCAUGACCUCCCAUGGCUUCAAGUUCAUAUUCCUCCUCAUUACUAACAAGAUCAGAAGAUAAGCACCAGGCUCUUCUUUCAAUGGGUCCAGAAAAAGUCUCCUUGGAUCCCGCUUACUGGAUCUUGGUCCAUUCCUAGGUCAGUGAUCAGAGCAAUAUAGUUCCAAUGAGUCAGGGCCAAAAGUGGAGAUUUCUGCACUGAAUUAUAUGAAUUAUAUGAAGUGAUAAUAAAAGAGAGACUGUU